GACGUAGGGCGCGAGCGUUGUCCGGAUUUAUUGGGCGUAAAGAGUGCGUAGGUGGUGAGGUAAGUCGGAUGUGAAAUCUCCGGGCUCAACCCGGAAAUGGCAUUGGAAACUACCUUGCUGGAGGAUUUGAGGGGGGAUUGGAAUACUUGGUGUAGCAGUGAAAUGCGUAGAUAUCAAGUGGAACACCAGUGGCGAAGGCGAAUCCCUGGAAAAUACCUGACACUGAGGCACGAAAGCUAGGGGAGCAAACAGG
rnacentral:rRNA from 1 species